rnacentral:rRNA from 1 species
AUUGAACGCUGGCGGCAGGCUUAACACAUGCAAGUCGAGCGGAGAUGAGGUGCUUGCACCUUAUCUUAGCGGCGGACGGGUGAGUAAUGCUUAGGAAUCUGCCUAUUAGUGGGGGACAACAUUCCGAAAGGAAUGCUAAUACCGCAUACGUCCUACGGGAGAAAGCAGGGGAUCUUCGGACCUUGCGCUAAUAGAUGAGCCUAAGUCGGAUUAGCUAGUUGGUGGGGUAAAGGCCUACCAAGGCGACGAUCUGUAGCGGGUCUGAGAGGAUGAGCCGCCACACUGGGACUGGGACACGGCCCAGAAUCCUACGGGAGGCAGCAGUGGGGAAUAUUGGACAAUGGGGGAAACCCUGAUCCAGCCAUGCCGCGUGUGUGAAGAAGGCCUUAUGGUGGUAAAGCACUUUAAGCGAGGAGGAGGCUACUGAGACUAAUACUCUUGGAUAGUGGACGUUACUCGCAGAAUAAGCACCGGCUAACUCUGUGCCAGCCGCCGCCGUAA